UCUCUCUCACACACACUAUCUCUCUCUUUCUCUCUCUCUCACUCUCUCUCUCACACACACACUAUCUCUCUCUU